CAAAGACGGAGCUCGAGCAUCUCUCCAUCUCUCCAUCUCCUCCAAGAGAGAAAGACCUUUUCUCCCUUUUUCUCUCUCUCUCUCUCUCCCCCUCCCUCCAUCCCUCCAUCUCUGGCCGCUCCAGCAGACUUGCCAUGGUUACAGCCACUCAUGGUAGAUAGGGGAAGGUGCUGGAGAUUGAACAGCUGUUGUGCAGAUGUUGUUCUCCUUUUCCCGUUGCUACAGACCUUUGUUCUCCUCCGAGUACAGUAAAGGCAGAAUCUGUUUUUUUCUGUAACUGAUCAAGUUUUGAUGAUGACAUCAUGAAGGUCACAUGAUGAGCUCUGAUGAGUGUGAGUACUUGUGGUCCUGACACCAGUUUCAGUUCGUCCUUUUGCUCAAUAACUCUUCCUUCUGUCUCAAUCACGCCAUCUGCAUCACGUCUUCCGUCACGUCACUGUCGCACCAACCCUGACCUGUUACCAUAGCGACAGAACACACCAUAAUCUACCUUCAGUCUUUUUUUGUAAUAUCAUUUAACUUCAUCAAUUAAAUAUUACAUCAAAAUAUAUUUACAGAAUAUGAAUUUAAAAGACAAAAGAUUAGGACAACUGAUGUCUUCAGCAAUCAAUCUUCUCUUGACUUGAACCAGGAAACCCAGCAAAGCCAGCUUCAUGAAGAUCUGCUUUCCAUGGGUUGGAAGAUGUGGAAGAUCUCCUGCUGUAGAACUCCAACUCGAGUGAACAUGAAUGAAUGUGAACACUGACUGCACCCCAGGAACAUCCUCACCUUCUCACCUUCUCACCUUCUCCAAUACCUGACUUUACUAACACCAUUGUGUCUGAAUGAAUCUCCACAGAAUCUAGUGGAACAUCUUCCCAGGAGAGUGAAGCUCAUUCUAACAGCACAUGAAGAAUAAAUGUGGAAUGGGAUUUUUUUCUUUUUUUAAAGCAGAUAACAAUCUUAUGGUCAAGUGUCUACAAACUUCAUACCCACAGAGUGUGUGAAUGUUUUAAUUGCUCUAUUGUUUUGUCCUUAAAGUUUUAUGUCCUUAAUAUGUAUUUAUUACUUUACUUCCUUUCUUUCUAAAAGACUGUAAAGUGUGAUGG